rnacentral:misc_RNA from 1 species
GAUGAAGAACGCAGCGAACUGCGAUAAGUAAUGUGAAUUGCAGAAUUCAGUGAAUCAUCGAAUCUUUGAACGCAUCUUGCGCUCCUUGGUAUUCUGAGGAGCAUGCCUGUUUGAGUGUCAUUAAAUUCUCAACUACACUGACUUUGAAUUGGUGUGGCUUGGAUUUGGGGGGAAAAUUGUUGUGGGCUUUUUGUAUAGUCUGCUCCCCUGAAAUUGAUUAGCGGUACCUUUGUGGAACUGUCUACAGGUGUGAUAAUUAUCUACAUCUUAGACAUCUGCUGGAAUGCUGCUUUCUAAACCUUACUUGUAUUGACAAUCUUGACCUCAAAUCAGGUAGGACUACCCGCUGAACUUAAGCAUAUCAAUAAGCGGAGGA